GAAGAAAGCUCCAUUUGUGGUACAGAACGCGGUUUGUUCAGAGAAAGACUAUUAUAUUAUCCUUCAGAAGGGUUUGUUGCGGUGUCUUAUGCAAUCUGAAGAAGCUUCCUUUCGACUUCAAGAACAGAGGGUUACCCACUUCAAAGAUUUUCAGAUCUGAUAUUUUAAGUUGAGCUGUUUGAAAGUAAGCUUUUCAGUAUCUUUCCGGAUCAUUCAAAAGGGUUUGUUCCCUGGCUAUUUGAAUGUUAAGAAGCUGUCUACGUACGUACUUUUGGAUUUCAAGCAGAAAGGGCUUCACUUCAAAUAUUGUCAGAUCUGAUAUUUCAAGUUAAAAGGACCGAUG